GAUGAACGCUGACAGCAUGCUUAACACAUGCAAGUCAACUUAAACUUCGGUUUGGGUGGCGGACGGGUGAGUAACGCGUAAAGAACUUGCCUCACAGCUAGGGACAACAUCCGGAAACGAAUGCUAAUACCUGAUAAUAUGAUUUUAGGGCAUCCUAGAAUCAUGAAAGAUAUAUGCGCUGUGAGUGAGCUUUGCGUCCCAUUAGCUAGUAGGAGAGGUACCAGCUAACCAAGGAGAUGAUGGGUAGUCGGCCGGAGGGGGUGAACGGCCACAAGGGGACGGAUACGCCGCCCUUACGCCUACUAGAGGCAGCAGUGGUGAAGAUUAGACAAUGAUCCAAGAGUCUGUUCCAGCAAUACUGUGUGUACGAUGAAGUUUCUCUGAAUUUAUAGUGCUUUCAUUUGGGAAGAAAAAAAUGACGGUACCGACAGAAGAAGUGACGGCUAAAUACGG
rnacentral:rRNA from 1 species